rnacentral:rRNA from 1 species
UGGGGAAUAUUGCACAAUGGGGGAAACCCUGAUGCAGCGACGCCGCGUGAGCGAAGAAGGCCUUCGGUUCGUAAAGCUCUUUUAUAUGGGAAGAUAAUGACGGUACCAUAAGAAAAAGCCCCGGCUAACUACGUGCCAGCAGCCGCGGUAAUACGUAGGGGGCUAGCGUUAUCCGGAUUCAUUGGGCGUAAAGCGCGCGCAGGCGGCUCUUCAAGCGGAACCUCUAACCCCGGGGCUCACCCUCGGGCCGGGUUCCGAACUGGAGGGCUGGAGUGCGGUAGAGGCAAGCGGAAGUCCCGGUGUAGCGGUGGAAUGCGCAGAUAUCGGGAAGAAAACCGAUGGCGAAGGCAGCCUGCUGGGCCAGCACUGACGCUGAGGCGCGAACGCUGGAGGAGCGAACAGG